AGCUUUGCGCAGUGGCACGAUCGUGGCCAAUGAGGUUUGUUCGAGGCAUGAUCAUUGCUCAUUGAAAACGUUUCCCAGUGCUCUGCUGUGGCGACUGGCAAUAUAGUUGGCACUGGCAGCUUUUGACAGUCUCUACUCAGA
ensembl:snRNA U4 U4 spliceosomal RNA